AUAACUUUACUUUCUUAAAGUCUUUUUUAUUGUUUGGUAAUUCAUACACACAUGUAAUGUGUUUUCAUUAAAGUUCCUCCCCUAUUUCCUCCCCUUCCGCUCCUCUUGAAUUCCCCCACCACUCUUCUCUCCCAUCUUGGUUGGAGUGUGUGUUGUGGGGUGUGUGUGUGUGUGUGUGUGUGUGUGUGUGUGUGUAUACACUCUGGCCAUUUUAUUCCUGGCAAAACCUUCGAUGGUGGAUGUAUAAAUCCUGAGCUCAGACCCGCCCCCCCCCCCCCCCCGAGGACUGAUGCAAGCUGAGCCAGCCUUUCGGGGUGCUCUGGGCCAUUUCGGUGGCCAGCAGGGGAAGGUCAGAGAGCGUGUGAACUGCCCCGUCUUCCUGCCCAACAUGCAGGGCUUCAGGUCAAGCAAGCGUCCAUGCCAGAGCCCCUCUGUAUCCCUCCACACCACUUGGUACUCUUGCUCCCUUACUCUCAAUUUCAUAACUUAUGACAAAAUCAUGUAACAUAAAGUGUACUACUGUGCUCGGUUUUAAGUAUGCCUAACUGUAGUGUGAAGACCACUGGACUCAUUGUAUAGUCAGUCUCCAUAACUGUUGCCCUUGCAAAACCAAAAUUGUGACCAUUAAAUACUCAUUGUCCACACCCUUGUCCCAGUCUUCCUGCUUCCAUCUCUGAGGGACCGCUCUGGAGACUUCUGGAAGCACACCCUGACAGUCUGGUCCUCUUUCUCUGGCUUUAAUCAUUUAGCAUUGCUUCACAUCCCCUCCACACUGAAGCACCUCGUCCCCUGUGGUCUCUUGUUCAUGUUUGGCACCUGGGACCUUACUUAGAAAAACACACUUCUCUCAGUAUUGGGCUCAUAAAAAGUCCAGACUGGCAAAUACAGGAUUGGGUAUGCAGAACUGUCUGAACUUUGGGCUUAUAAUAUGCCCCUGUUUCACCAUGAUUGAAGCUCACGUGGAUAGGACCAACAUCUGAUUCCAAGGACUACCUUGGGGCCCUAGCACCUGUUGACGCUCAGCAUCCUCUCGGGAGUGGAGGAAAAAGCAUGAGGCCCAGGAGUGACUGGAUACUGUGGGCCUCUGGGGGACACUUGGUAUGCUGUUCAGGAGAAACUGCGCUCUCUUGCGUUUUGUUGGUUCAGCACCAGUCUCAGUGUUCGGCAGAGCAAUGUUUUGAAAUGCCAAUUCAGAGACAGACUUUCUGGCAGGCAAGACCCUCUUAACCUGUUGGCCUGCAUCCUUUGUCGCUGAGUUGGUCCCUCUGAUAGUGCUGAAGGUCACUGUUAGCGCAUUAUUGAAAUGAGACAUUUGCAGUGCGGGCCUUGUACUGUUUCUGCUAAUAGGAGCCCACUGUUUUUCACAUGUGGUUAGUCAGAUUGCUUUUUCUAGCCAGGGACUUGGCCUAGGAGAGAUGCCUAGCAAAAGACCUGCCGUGGGGAAGGAUGGCUACGAGUUGUGUGUGGGAAGGCAAGCACUCUGGAAUCCCGGGGUUGCUCUUGUGUUGACGCUACCUCAGAGUCCCAGAACCUCCCAGGACUGCUCACCUCUGGAAUGGGAAGGUGACCUCUGUCUCUCUCCUGCCCGCCGCACAGAACCAGAGGAAACGGUUGGGCUCAGUAGUUGACCACUCUGCUGUCCUGGUCAGCAGUGUGGGGACCAUAGUGAGAUGAUGUGAACCCGUUCAGUUAUGGGUCCUUCCUGGCCGCCUUGCAUAGAAGUGACAUUCACCAGCCACACUUGUGUUUACAGAACAAGGUUCUUACCACGUGUCUGCCACUCCAUCCCGCCUCCCUUGAUUUGGAAAAGGGGGCAGGAGGUACUGCCCCUCCCAAACAUCACACCACUAUUUUCUCUGAAUGGCUGCAGUUACUAUGUGUUUUUAAGUAAUUUCAUUUGGAUGUAUUUUUAACCAGCGUUGAGUUCUGAAGGCCAAUCAGCCAGGGAUGUCUCCAGCUGUAGGAGUAACAGUCAGGUUUGUGCUUUGCCAGCCCGCAGCUGGAGCCAGCGCCGUUAGCCUUCCCACCGGCAUUUCGUCUCUCUAGACGGCAUCAGAGGAAAGUCUGCAGUAAGGUCUCAGAGGUCACAGAUAGGAGUCUUAUUAGGUUUUUUUUUUCUUUUUUUUUUUUUCUUCUUCCCAGGCUUUUGUAGCACCAAACACAGUUCUCAAUAGGCGCUUGAUAAAUCCUUAAAUCCCUAACAGUCAGAUGAUAUCAUUUUGAGGGAAAAAAAUCUAAAAGGAGCCCGUGGAAUAUGGCACCUGGGAGCUCAAAAGCUUUGCAGUUAGCGUUGGGGGAAUGCCUGGCUCACUUAGCUGCUAGAAACACGUGCACACCAUCUGCAUGCACUCACACAUCUACACUCGCUAUGCAUACACCUCUACUCUUUGAGGAUAGCAAGAGGCCGUUGCAGGGCCAAACCUCCCUCUACCACCUGAGGACAGACCAGAGGGACAGCAGAGCCCAGUGACCACAGAAUACUGAUGAGUGUCUUAGGUGUUAAAAGGGGUGCUAUAGAAACCCUCCGGUAGAUUUCUAUCAUACAGGGAAUUUUCCUUAUCUAAAACCACUGGGUUUAUCUGACCUCAGCUCCCCACAUUUGCUCCAUCCUGGGUGUCUGCUCGGUUUUCAGCCAAAUCAAGGUCAGGAUAAAAAGGAGAUUUGGGUGGCAGUAAGCUGGAUAUUCAGGCUUCUGCAGUAAUACUCAAUUAUUGAAUUCUCCAGGAGCAGUGAACUCCUCUAUAUAAUGAAGUCCUCAGUUUUUAAAUAUCUUUAUGAAUCAGCCAGUUCAGUAUUGGCAGCAGUCAGCUUGCUGUUUCCUGCUUUAUUAUAAAGAUAAGACAGUAGGGCUCUGAGAACUUGGUAGGGUGGUUAAAGGCCAGCCUAAACAUUUAAACGCACCUUGUUCUUCCUGACUGAGCCUUUUAAAGCGCCACCAAAUGCCAUCGGAAAGGACCCACAUGGGAGAGGAGUCAGCCAUCACUGUCCUGCAGCCCUGAGACCCCAACCCCAGCAUGGUCUGGUACUGCCCUGUGCACCCCCUGUCACCCAUAAGCCUCACUAACCAGGGCUCAGACUCAGGACUGCAGGGGGCACGUGAUUUCCAAUCACUUUUAUUUGUAGUGGAUCCAAAGCAAAAUAAAACAAAAUCUAUGUGCAUUCAAGACCCUAGGACACACACUGCUCAGAUCUGCAGGUUCUGCUCAGACCUCCACAGCAGAGCAGGUGCUGUACUAAAGAAAGCGAUACCAGCUUCUAGAUUCCCAGUACAUAUAAGGGUUAUAGUUAACAUGGUGUAUGUACAGUCUGUUGUGCUUGCAGUAGUACUACAUAGAGGUGUAGAAACCUCAAUUUAAAGCCCCUUUGUUGCUAAAGAAUGCUAAGGAUCAUGGGAACUGAGGGCAGGGGUGCUGGUACAGUUGCUCCUCACAGGGUGAUCAAACCUCUAAUUCAUU
ensembl:processed_transcript Gm20682 predicted gene 20682